rnacentral:rRNA from 1 species
AUUGAACGCUGGCGGCAGGCCUAACACAUGCAAGUCGAACGAGAGGCGGACGGGUGAGUAAUGUAUGGGAAACUGCCCGAUGGAGGUGGAUAACUACUGGAAAAGGUAGCUCAUACCGCCUACCAUCGGCUGUGCCCCUAUGGGAUUAGCUAGUAGGUGGGGUAACGGCUCACCUAGGCGACGAUCCCUAGCUGGUCUGAGAGGAUGACCAGCCACACUGGGACUGAGACACGGCCCAGACUCCUACGUGAGGCAGCAGUGGGGAAUAUUGCACAAUGGGCGCAAGCCUGAUGCAGCCAUGCCGCGUGUAUGAAGAAGGCUUUCGGGUUGUAAAGUACUUUCAGCCGGGAGGCGUUACCCACAGAAGAAGCACCGGCUAACUCCGUGCCAGCAGCCGCGGUAAUAC